rnacentral:rRNA from 1 species
UCCUACGGGGGGCAGCAGUGAGGAAUAUUGGUCAAUGGCCGGAAGGCUGAACCAGCCAAGUCGCGUGAGGGACGACUGCCCUAUGGGUUGUAAACCUCUUUUCUAAGGGGAGAAUAAAUGCUACGUGUAGCAUGAUGCCUGUACAUUAUGAAUAAGCAUCGGCUAACUCCGUGCCAGCAGCCGCGGUAAUACGUAGGGAGCAAGCGUUGUCCGGAAUUACUGGGUGUAAAGGGAGCGUAGGCGGGGAUGCAAGUUGGGGGUCAAAACUAUC